GGUCCGGUCCCUCGCAAUGGGUCCCGUCCGAACCGGGUCAGGCCGGGAACGGAGCAGCCCUAAGGACACGGGCCCAUGUGCGGGCGGCCCGGGCCCAC
rnacentral:SRP_RNA from 1 species